AUGAACGCUGGCGGCGUGCUUAACACAUGCAAGUCGAACGAGGAAUUUUAAAUGAGACUUCGGUGGAUUUUAGAAUUCUUAGUGGCGGACGGGUGAGUAACGCGUGGGCAACCUGCCCUGUACAGGGGGACAACAGCUGGAAACGGCUGCUAAUACCGCAUAAGCGCACAGCAUCGCAUGAUGCCGUGUGAAAAACUCCGGUGGUACAGGAUGGGCCCGCGUUGGAUUAGGUAGUUGGUGAGGUAACGGCCCACCAAGCCGACGAUCCAUAGCCGACCUGAGAGGGUGACCGGCCACAUUGGGACUGAGACACGGCCCAAACUCCUACGGGAGGCAGCAGUGGGGAAUAUUGCACAAUGGGGGAAACCCUGAUGCAGCGACGCCGCGUGAGCGAAGAAGUAUUUCGGUAUGUAAAGCUCUAUCAGCAGGGAAGAAAAUGACGGUACCUGACUAAGAAGCCCCGGCUAACUACGUGCCAGCAGCCGCGGUAAUACGUAGGGGGCAAGCGUUAUCCGGAUUUACUGGGUGUAAAGGGAGCGUAGACGGCUUUGCAAGUCUGAUGUGAAAGGCGGGGGCUCAACCCCUGGACUGCAUUGGAAACUGUGAGGCUUGAGUGCCGGAGAGGUAAGCGGAAUUCCUAGUGUAGCGGUGAAAUGCGUAGAUAUUAGGAGGAACACCAGUGGCGAAGGCGGCUUACUGGACGGUAACUGACGUUGAGGCUCGAAAGCGUGGGGAGCAAACAGGAUUAGAUACCCUGGUAGUCCAUGCCGUAAACGAUGAUUACUAGGUGUUGGGGGAUUGACCCCCUCAGUGCCGCAGUUAACACAAUAAGUAAUCCACCUGGGGAGUACGACCGCAAGGUUGAAACUCAAAGGAAUUGACUGGGGCCCGCACAAGCAGUGGAGUAUGUGGUUUAAUUCGAAGCAACGCGAAGAACCUUACCAGGGCUUGACAUAAAGAUGAAUAUAUAAGAGAUUAUAUAGCUCUUCGGAGCAUCUAUACAGGUGGUGCAUGGUUGUCGUCAGCUCGUGUCGUGAGAUGUUGGGUUAAGUCCCGCAACGAGCGCAACCCUUAUCCUCAGUAGCCAGCGGUUUGGCCGGGCACUCUGUGGAGACUGCCAGGGAUAACCUGGAGGAAGGUGGGGAUGACGUCAAAUCAUCAUGCCCCUUAUGACUUGGGCUACACACGUGCUACAAUGGCGUAAACAAAGGGAAGCGAGAGAGCGAUCUGGAGCAAAUCCCAAAAAUAACGUCCCAGUUCGGAUUGUAGUCUGCAACUCGACUACAUGAAGCUGGAAUCGCUAGUAAUCGCGAAUCAGAAUGUCGCGGUGAAUACGUUCCCGGGUCUUGUACACACCGCCCGUCACACCAUGGGAGUCGGUAACGCCCGAAGUCAGUGACCCAACCGAAAGGAGGGAGCUGCCGAAGGCGGGACUGGUAACUGGGGUG
rnacentral:rRNA from 1 species